UACGUAGGGGGCAAGCGUUGUCCGGAUUUAUUGGGCGUAAAGAGCGUGUAGGCGGCCAGACAGGUCAGCUGUGAAAACUCGAGGCUCAACCUCGAGAUGUCGGCUGAAACCAUCUGGCUAGAGUCCGGAAGAGGAGAAUGGAAUUCCCGGUGUAGCGGUGAAAUGCGCAGAUAUCGGGAAGAACACCCGUGGCGAAGGCGGUUCUCUGGGACGGUACUGACGCUGAGACGCGAAAGCGUGGGGAGCGAACAGG
rnacentral:rRNA from 1 species